rnacentral:rRNA from 1 species
AGAGUUUGAUCAUGGCUCAGAGCGAACGCUGGCGGCAGGCUUAACACAUGCAAGUCUAACGGACGCAGCAAUGCGUCAGUGGCAGACGGGUGAGUAACACGUGGGAACGUGCCCUUCGGUUCGGAACAACCCAGGGAAACUUGGGCUAAUACCGGAUACGUCCGCAAGGAGAAAGAUUUAUCGCCGAAGGAUCGGCCCGCGUCUGAUUAGCUUGUUGGUGAGGUAACGGCUCACCAAGGCGACGAUCAGUAGCUGGUCUGAGAGGAUGAUCAGCCACACUGGGACUGAGACACGGCCCAGACUCCUACGGGAGGCAGCAGUGGGGAAUAUUGGACAAUGGGCGCAAGCCUGAUCCAGCCAUGCCGCGUGGGUGAUGAAGGCCUUAGGGUUGUAAAGCCCUUUCGGCGGGGAAGAUAAUGACGGUACCCGCAGAAGAAGCCCCGGCUAACUUCGUGCCAGCAGCCGCGGUAAUACGAAGGGGGUUAGCGUUGCUCGGAAUCACUGGGCGUAAAGCGCACGUAGGCGGAUUGCUAAGUCAGGGGUGAAAUCCUGGAGCUCAACUCCAGAACUGCCCUUGAUACUGGCGACCUUGAGUCCGGGAGAGGUGAGUGGAACUGCGAGUGUAGAGGUGAAAUUCGUAGAUAUUCGCAAGAACACCAGUGGCGAAGGCGGCUCACUGGCCCGGUACUGACGCUGAGGUGCGAAAGCGUGGGGAGCAAACAGGAUUAGAUACCCUAGUAGUCC